rnacentral:rRNA from 1 species
GAUGAACGCUGGCGGCGUGCCUAACACAUGCAAGUCGAGCGAUCUUCUUCGGAAGGGAGCGGCGGACGGGUGAGUAACGCGUGGGUAACCUGCCCUGUACACACGGAUAACAUACCGAAAGGUAUGCUAAUACGGGAUAACAUAAGAAAGUCGCAUGGCUUUCUUAUCAAAGCUUUUGCGGUACAGGAUGGACCCGCGUCUGAUUAGCUAGUUGGUAAGGUAACGGCUUACCAAGGCGACGAUCAGUAGCCGACCUGAGAGGGUGAUCGGCCACAUUGGAACUGAGACACGGUCCAAACUCCUACGGGAGGCAGCAGUGGGGAAUAUUGCACAAUGGGCGAAAGCCUGAUGCAGCAACGCCGCGUGAGCGAUGAAGGCCUUCGGGUCGUAAAGCUCUGUCCUCAAGGAAGAUAAUGACGGUACUUGAGGAGGAAGCCCCGGCUAACUACGUGCCAGCAGCCGCGGUAAUACGUAGGGGGCUAGCGUUAUCCGGAAUUACUGGGCGUAAAGGGUGCGUAGGCGGUCUUUCAAGUCAGAAGUGAAAGGCUACGGCUCAACCGUAGUAAGCUUUUGAAACUGUAAGACUUGAGUGCAGGAGAGGAGAGUGGAAUUCCUAGUGUAGCGGUGAAAUGCGUAGAUAUUAGGAGGAACACCAGUUGCGAAGGCGGCUCUCUGGACUGUAACUGACGCU